rnacentral:lncRNA from 1 species
AGUCAUACCUGAUUUUGACCCUCCCAAGACAAAAGAAAAGGAUAAUGAAGAAACUGAAGCACCAACAUCUACUGAAAAAAUUGAAUGUCCUUUUCCUGCACCAUUUCCACAAAGAUUAAAGCCCUUGCAAAAGCUUGAACCAAACUCUGAAAUUCUUGAGCUUUUUAAGCAAGUAAAAAUCAAUGUACCUCUUCUUGAUGCAAUCAAACAAGUGCC